UUAUAGGAAACUCCCAAGUUUUGAUCUACUGCCUGAAGAAGAGUAUGGAGAGUGGUUAAUGGUGUGGUCUGGAGGAUGUCUCAGUGAAGUGAAAAGCCUCAGUAAUGUUUAGGGUUAGCUACAACUCUUUUUGUUAGCUUGAUGAAUAUUCAAGAUGUUGAAAGGGCUAUGCUAUUUGUCAUUUUGGACAUGUGACUUAGAUGUAGCGUGAUGUAUAUUGCUAGCUGGAUGUAUGAGUUGACAAUAUAAAUUUUUGCAACCUGGGAUUUUGUCAAGAUUGUGUAAUUGCUGAGUGAGUGGGCUCAAAAACAACUGCGAGCUAUAGCAGGCCAAAUUUAUUUUGUGACGUUUUUCUC